rnacentral:lncRNA from 1 species
GGGACAGUCAGGUUUGGGAGACUCCGGAUUUUGUUUUUGUAAAGUUUCCUCUGGGUGGAGGCUGCGGCCGGCCCCCCGGGUCCCCCCCGGCCCCGCCGCCCUCGGGACUGGGGCGGGGGAGGGGGGCUCUAGGAACUCCUCCCGGAGUCCAGCCAAGGAGCCGGGGGGCCGGCGACUGGCCAAGGGAGAAGACCCCCGGAGGGGGCUGAGGGGAGGGGGAAGGUGAGGAAAGGACGGCGGCGUCGGUCCUGUUCUCUCCGCCGCCCCAGCCGCCGCUUCACAUCGGGGUCCCCGCCCCCCCGGCCGGGGGGUGGUUGCCGAGCUUGGUUGGGGCCCCGGUUCAUACACUCCGGGGCAAGAUGCUACGGCCCCGGGCGGGUGGCCGAGUCGGCGGCAAGGCGAGGGACCCGGCCGGCUCCGCUCGGCGCCGCCCCCGCUCCCGGCUCCCGCAUGUGUCGCUGCGGCUGGGACCCCCCUCCCUACACCUUGGGGGUCUCGCCCCACGCCCCACGGGACGAGGCAGAAGCUCUGGCGCCUCCUCAGCGUUCUCUCACCGCGGAGCAGCUACCCACUCCCGGCCCGUGGUAGCCGCCUCCCUGCCCCCCAAGCCGCCGGCUCCGGCUCAGGCUCGGGCUCCGGCUCUGGCUCCGGCUCCGGCGUGUGCAGCCGCCGCUGCCGGCCGGGAAGGUGAGGGGGGGAAAGGAGUGCGGCCGCGGCUCCCGCUGGCCCAGGUGAGAGCGAAGGUCUCGGCGGCGGCCAGUGCAGGGGGACUGGAUCUCUCGGAUGCUCCUUCGCUCUCAGUCUCAGCGGCGGCGGCGGCGGCAGCGGCAGCGGCAGCGCCCGGAGCUCAGCUCGCUGUCUCCCUCGCUCUGUGCGGGGCUCUCGCCUCACUCCAGAGAGAGGGGCGGGAGGAGAGCGGCGCCUGCCGAUGACGCAAGUCACCUAGCAACCGCUCUCUUCCCCCUCCCUCUUCUUUCCGCUCUGAGGCUUCCUCCGCUGGCCUUUUUCCCCCUUCCAGCCACCCCGCCCUGGGCGCCUCUGGCGCGCUCUGAUGACGCUCCAAGGGAAGAGGAAGUGGGGAUCGGCGAGCGGGUGGGUGCGCCUCGGGCCGCGGGACUCGCAGCCGCCACCGCCGCUGCCGCCUCUACGGCCGCGUCAGAACUGAAGAGAGGAAGGGGAGGAGCCGAGUCGAGCCUAAGCUGCCGCCCGAUCUUACCCCUGACCCGAGGGCGGCCUGGAGAGCUUGGUCUGUAGCGGUUUCCUUCGGGGCAGGUGGGGACUGCUCCUUUGGGAGGAAGGAGGAGGCCCAGGCCGCGUCUUCAGGCAGCUGCGCGCACCACCCGAAGGUGAGGCAUUUGGCCCCAAACAGACCCUCGAAAAGCCGGACUGAUCGAGGAGUUACCCUACAGCCUGAUCUGCACCUGCUCCAGGGAGAGAGCGCCCCACCCUUCCCGUGGCGUGGGGUGAGACCCAGCGUUGGAUAACGUGUGGUCGGGCCGAGCAAAUGUUUGAUGAAUGAAUGAAUGAAUGAAUGCCUCUCUCACGUGGCACUCGUGAAGCUCAGAGGAUAUGGUGGAAGUGCAAGCGCUUUGUAAACUGCAGUGCAUUGUAAAAAUGAGUUGUAAUACAUUCCUCCCCUCCCCCUAGCCAUGAAAGGAAACAGGGGUGCGGCUUGAGUACAGAGUCACAACCUGAGUCUUUAGUGGAAAAGGAGACGAAAUGCCGAGCAAGGGAAGGGACCCAUCCUCGCGCAGAUUGUUAGGGCGGCGGGAAGGGAGGAUUGGAAGGGAGCCAUCCUCUGGGAGAUUGCUGAAGGAUUUUUGACUGUCAGGGGAAGAAUUUAAUAGUCCCUCACUUUUACGAAUGGUUCUUUCUUACGGUUUGGAGCUUUCGAGAGCUUCUGGUCUUGGUUCAUCAGUGUACGUUGUCAUCAAGAAAUGUUGGCCUGUUUCAGGUCUGACUCAAAGGUUAUUUUCUUUCUAAAAUAAGUGUUAUUACUAUUAUGCAGCUUUUCCUACAGAUGUUAUCCUGGAAAGGAAAGUUAAGUAGAAACUCAUGAAGUUUAAAGUGUAGUUCUCUAGGAAAACAAAUUUAAGAUAAAAGGACCAGAAUCCUCAGAAAUCUGUCUUCAGUGAAUAGUAUGAGAAAAAGAUUAAAGCAGCAGCAAUGAUGAAAGCAGAUUCCACAAUUCUGUCCCUGGACCCUAGUACACUCUACCUCCUUGGGAAGCAGUAGUAAUGGAUUUUACAAGUCUUUCCACCUGGAGGAGGGGGUAAGGUAGGAGCAAGUGUAUUAUAGACAAAUGUGGGAAGCUCUGGGUUUCUCCCACUACUGCCACUACCAUCUGCAAACAGUAAACUAAGGAAACUUUUAACUGGGUAAAUCCAAGGGCUCGUGUUCAUUAAAAUGCUGCGGGAAAGGUGGUGAGAGGGGCAAAGGAGGAUGUGGCAAAACCAAGGAGAGACUCACAGACUAGCACCUGACCCUACUGCCCUUGACCUGAAGUUCCAAGAGCCAGGUUAAAUAUCCUGCUUAAAUUACCCUGGAUUUUUCUGUCUUUACGUGACCAAUCCCCUGCUACAGCCUUCCAAAUAAGACUCACAGGUAAUCAGACCAACAAGUGAUGGUCUCACAUGGCUACAAAAUAAAUAUUUUUUGUUUUUCCCCCUCUUCCUAUCUUACAACAGGGGAAUGGUGGAAAUUAAAGGAGUAAAACACACAGAUUUAGGGGAUUUUGUGAAGCUAAACACCUCAGAGAGUUUAACCUUUGUAGGCUUUGAAGGAAAAGAGUGCAAACAUCAGAGUUCUGCAGCCCAGCAGAGAACACCUCCAGUUAAGUGUGUACCACAUAGGGUUUUUCAGCAGCGUGAUCUUCUGUUUUCAUUGUCAGUGGCUCCACCUUACAACCUCAGUGCUGAGGAACAGAAGGGCACUCAGGAGAGCCUGAGCCACUUACUUAGAAAGUAUUUAAUAACAGCACACUAAGCUUACUGGGCUAGAUACCCACCUCAGCACCCAGCUUGAUAACAGGAGGAAACAGCUGGAACUGGAGACUGGAGAGAAGGAAGUUCAUACAUUUCCAACUUGGUCUGCAUCUCUUUAGUUCCUUGUAUUGCUUAUUAAUCCAGAGGAGAAAACAGCUAGUUAAUUAAAAAUUCCAAAAAAUCUGAAGUUUUAGCUAAUAGUUACUUCCCUGGUUCAUCAAUUUAAGAUAAGGAUCUAAAUACUGUGUUAAAAUAUAGAAAAACGGAGACUCUUAUAAGGUUUUUGACCUCUACACUUGAAAGUGAGCUCUUACAAGAAACUAAUCAGUGUUUCGUUAUUCCAUAUCAGUGGCUUUUACUGUCAAAGAUUGUGUAAGCUAAAUUAUCUGGCAAAAUUUUGCUUUCCAGAAAUACUAUCUAUAUUAAUUUUAACAUUUUUAUUGUGAAAUAUAGUUUAAAUACAUAAAGCAAUUAUAUAGUAUAAGUGAUUAUAAAGGAAACCACCAUGUAACCAAUCAACCAGGUCAAGAAAUGGAAUAUUUCCAGCAACUCAGAAGUUCCCCUCCCUGCCAUGACCUUCCCGAACACAACUCUUUCCCUCCCUCCUAAGUGUAGUCAUUAUUCUAACAUUUGUGAUAAUCAUUUCCCUGCUUUUCUUUGUCGCUUUGUCGCAAGCAUGCAUCCCUAAACAAUAUAUUGUUUAGUCUCACUCUUUCUUUUGAACUUUAUGUAACUGGAACAAUAUAAUAUGUAAUCUGUUGUUCUUGCUGCUUUUGCUCAACAUUGUUUUUAAUUCAUAUGUUGUUCAGGUUGUUCCUAUAGCUGUAAUUUGUGCAUUUUCAUUGCUGCAUAUUACAGUGUCCCAUUAUAACAAUAUGUGACAAUAUGUUUAGCCAUUCUAUUGCUGAUGGACAUCUGGGUUGUUUCCAGUUUAGGAUUGUUAUAAAUGCUAAUGUGAACAUUCUUCAUAUAUGUAUUCCAUCACAUCUACGUCAGUUUCUGUAUAACAUAUACCUGGGAGUGUAAUAUGUAUCAUAAACUUGAAUAAAUAAUGCCAAGUUCUUUUC